rnacentral:rRNA from 1 species
GUGCCAGCCGCCGCGGUAAUACGUAAGAGGCAAGCGUUGUCCGGAAUCACUGGGCGUAAAGGGUGCGCAGGCGGUCUAGCAAGUCAGAGGUGAAAGCCAUCAGCUUAACUGAUGAAGUGCCUUUGAAACUGUUAGACUUGAGGAUAGGAGAGGAAAGUGGAAUUCCCGGUGUAGUAGUGAAAUACGUAGAGAUCGGGAAGAAUACCAAUGGUGAAAACAGCUUUCUGGCCUAUUCCUGACGCUGAGGUACGAAAGCUAGGGUAGCAAACGGGAUUAGAAACCCCAGUAGUCC